rnacentral:lncRNA from 1 species
UUUCAAUUGCCUCAUGAUCAUCAGCUCCUUUUUGCUGGUCACUCAGUACCAUGUCUAUGAUUAUCACCUUCCCUCCAUUUUCCUUGCUAGGAAUUGCUUCUUUGCAUUUCCUAAGUAUUUGUAUACAUUCCUCAUCAUUCCAAUCGUGCAAUAUCCACUGUUUAAAUUAACAUUCAUAUCACAAAGAAUUCAAAUCAGUCAGGAACACUAUGUUAAAGUUAUUAAAGAAAAUUGAAAUUGAUAAGAGGUACAGAAGCC